rnacentral:hammerhead_ribozyme from 1 species
NUCCAGUUGACGAGUACCAAAUAGGACGAAACGCGCAUCCUGGAU